CCUACGGGCGACAGCAGUGGGGAAUAUUGCACAAUGGGGGAAACCCUGAUGCAGCGACGCCGCGUGAGUGAAGAAGGAAUUCGUUAUGUAAAGCUCUAUCAGCAGGGAAGAAAAUGACGGUACCUGAGUAAGAAGCCCUGGCUAACUACGUGCCAGCAGCCGCGGUAAUACGUAGGGGGCAAGCGUUAUCCGGAUUUACUGGGUGUAAAGGGAGCGUAGACGGCAGUGCAAGUCUGGAGUGAAAGGCGGGGGCUCAACCCCCGGACUGCUCUGGAAACUGUACGGCUUGAGUGCAGGAGAGGUAAGUGGAAUUCCUAGUGUAGCGGUGAAAUGCGUAGAUAUUAGGAGGAACACCAGUGGCGAAGGCGGCUUACUGGACUGUAACUGACGUUGAGGCUCGAAAGCGUGGGGAGCAAACAGGAUUAGAUACCCCUGUAGUC
rnacentral:rRNA from 1 species